rnacentral:tRNA from 3 species
UUGUAGCUCAGCUGGAUAGAGCAACGGCCUUCUAAGCCGUGGGUCGGGGGUUCGAAUCCCUCCA